rnacentral:rRNA from 1 species
GACGAACGCUGGCGGCGUGCUUAACACAUGCAAGUCGAACGGUGAAGCGCCUUCCUUUUUGGUGGGUGUGGAUGAGUGGCGAACGGGUGAGUAACACGUGAGUAACCUGCCCCCUUCUUCUGGAUAACCGCAUGAAAGUGUGGCUAAUACGGGAUAUUCUGGGUCUGUCGCAUGAUGGGUCUGGGAAAGAUAUUGUUUCGGUGUGGGAUGGGGUCGCGGCCUAUCAGCUUGUUGGUGGGGUGGUGGCCUACCAAGGCGGGGACGGGUAGCCGGCCUGAGGGGGUGAGCGCCCCCAUCGGGACUGAGAUGGGGCCCAGACUCGGACAGGAGGCAACAGUGGGGAAAAGUUUACAGCGGGCGGGCGGCGGGGGGGGGGGCGCCGUGGGGGGGAUGACCGCCUUCGGGUGGUAAACCGCUUUCGCCUGUUACGGGGCGGGAUUGACGGUAAUGGGUAAAGAAGCACCGGCUAACUACGUG